UCUAAUAUGGCAGAAUAGUGCGAUGGACUUAAACCCCAUUUAUAAAGAAUUUCUUUUUUUAGAA
rnacentral:tRNA from 1 species